GGUCAAGCGACUAAGUGCAUGUGGUGGAUGCCUUGGCGAUCACAGGCGAUGAAGGACGUGACAGCCUGCGAAAAGCUCCGGGGAGCUGGCAAAUGAGCAUUGAUCCGGAGAUGUCCGAAUGGGGAAACCCGGCCCGCAAGGGUCACCGCCGCCUGAAUACAUAGGGCGGAGGGAGCUAACCCGGUGAACUGAAACAUCUCAGUAGCCGGAGGAAAAGAAAUCAACCGAGAUUCCGCUAGUAGUGGCGAGCGAACGCGGAAGAGCCUUGCUGUCUUUAGCCGAUGUCGUAGUGGAACGCUCUGGAAAGGGCGGCCGCAGUGGGUGACAGCCCCGUACACGAAACGACGCCGGUGGAACCAAGUCAGCGACAAGUAGGGCGGGACACGUGAAAUCCUGUCUGAAGAUGGGGACCAUCCUCCCAGGCUAAAUACUCGUGAUCGACCGAUAGUGAACCAGUACCGUGAGGGAAAGGCGAAAAGAACCCAGGAAGGGGAGUGAAAUAGAUCCUGAAAACGCAUGCAUACAAACAGUGGGAGUCCCGCCAGGGAUGACUGCGUACCUUUGUAUAAUGGGUCAGCGACUUACGUUCUGUUGCGAGCUUAACCGCAUAGGGAAGGCGCAGCGAAAGCGAGUCCGAAUAGGGCGCUUUAGUAGCAGGGCGUAGACCCGAAACCGGAUGAUCUAGCCAUGGCCAGGCUGAAGCGGGGGUAACACCUCGUGGAGGGCCGAACCCACUACCGUUGAAAAGGUAGGGGAUGAGCUGUGGCUAGGGGUGAAAGGCUAAACAAAUCCGGAGAUAGCUGGUUCUCUCCGAAAACUAUUGAGGUAGUGCCUCGUGUAUCACCUUCGGGGUAGAGCACUGUAAUGGUAGUGGGGAGCAUCGCGCUCUACCACGCCAUAGCAAACUCCGAAUACCGAAGAGUGCGAGCACGGGAGACAGACGGCGGGUGCUAACGUUCGUCGUCGAGAGGGGAAACAACCCAGACCACCAGCUAAGGUCCCCAAGACACAGUUAAGUGGGAAACGAGGUGGGAAGGCUCAGACAGCCAGGAUGUUGGCUUAGAAGCAGCCAUCAUUUAAAGAAAGCGUAAUAGCUCACUGGUCGAGUCGUCCUGCGCGGAAGAUGUAACGGGGCUCAAACUGUGCACCGAAGCUGUGGAUUCAGGUAACAGAGUUCAGGUAACAGGUAACAGGCAGGUAACGGAUGGGCGCGCAUCGGUUCGAGGAACUGGAUGUGUUCCAGCGGGCUUACAAGCUCUCGCUGGAGAUACAUCGAUUCACUCAGACGAUGCCGCCGGUCGAGCAAUUCGACCUCGCCAGCCAGAUCAGGCGGGCGAGCAAAUCCAUCUGUGCGAACCUGGCCGAGGGUUUCGGCAAGCAAAGCCGAUCCAAGGUCGAGUUCGCGCGAUAUCUCCAGAUGAGCAUCGGCUCCGCAGAUGAGAUGCGGGUCUGGAUUCGUUACUGCCUGGACCUCGGGUAUACGGAUGAGGCGACAUGGCAGCGUUGGCGCGAUGAAUACGAAGAGAUCGCGAAGAUGCUGAACGGGCUCCACAGGAGCCUUCGCUGAAUCUGUUUCCUGUUUCCUGACCUCUGUUGCCUGGAUGGUAGGAGAGCGUUCCGUAGGCCUGUGAAGGCGAGGUGUGAACCUCGCUGGAGGUAUCGGAAGUGCGAAUGCUGACAUGAGUAGCGAUAAAGCAGGUGAAAGGCCUGCUCGCCGUAAGCCCAAGGUUUCCUGCGCCACGUUCAUCGGCGCAGGGUGAGUCGGCCCCUAAGAUGAGGGCGAGAGCCGUAGUCGAUGGGAAGCGGGUCAAUAUUCCCGCACCGACGUGGAAUGCGAUGGGGGGACGGAGAAGGUUAACCAGGCCGGGUGUUGGACGUCCCGGUUCAAGCGUGUAGGCGUGCUGGCAGGCAAAUCCGCGCGGCUUAGCCAAGGCGUGACGACGAGGGCCGGCUUGCCGGCUCGAAGCGGGUGAUACCAGGCUCCCAGGAAAAGCCUCUAAGCUUCAGUUCCACGACGACCGUACCGCAAACCGACACAGGUGGGCGAGCUGAAUAUGCUCAGGCGCUUGAGAGAACUCGGGUGAAGGAACUCGGCAAAUUGACACCGUAACUUCGGGAUAAGGUGUGCCCUCGCUAGGUGAACCCGUACAGGGGGAGCCGAGGGGGCCGCAGAGAAUCGGUGGCUGCGACUGUUUAACAAAAACACAGCACUCUGCUAAGACGAAAGUCGACGUAUAGGGUGUGACGCCUGCCCGGUGCCGGAAGGUUAAGUGAUGGGGUGCAAGCUCUUGAUCGAAGCCCCGGUAAACGGCGGCCGUAACUAUAACGGUCCUAAGGUAGCGAAAUUCCUUGUCGGGUAAGUUCCGACCUGCACGAAUGGCGUAACGAUGGCCACACUGUCUCCACCCGAGACUCAGCGAAGUUGAAGUGUUUGUGAAGAUGCAAUCUCCCCGCGGCAAGACGGAAAGACCCCGUGCACCUUUACUGUAGCUUUGCAUUGGACUGUGAUGAGGUUUGUGUAGGAUAGCUGGGAGGCUUUGAAGCCCGGUCGCCAGAUCGGGUGGAGCCAACGUUGAAAUACCAGCCUGACGUCAUUGCGGUUCUAACCUUGGUCCGUCAUCCGGAUCGGGGACCGUGCAUGGUAGGCAGUUUGACUGGGGCGGUCUCCUCCCAAAGAGUAACGGAGGAGCUCGAAGGUUCGCUUAGCGCGGUCGGACAUCGCGCUUCAAUUGCAAGGGCACAAGCGAGCUUGACUGCGAGACUGACAAGUCGAGCAGGUGCGAAAGCAGGACCUAGUGAUCCGGUGGUUCUGAAUGGAAGGGCCAUCGCUCAACGGACAAAAGGUACGCCGGGGAUAACAGGCUGAUACCGCCCAAGAGUUCAUAUCGACGGCGGUGUUUGGCACCUCGAUGUCGGCUCAUCACAUCCUGGGGCUGUAGCCGGUCCCAAGGGUAUGGCUGUUCGCCAUUUAAAGUGGUACGUGAGCUGGGUUCAAAACGUCGUGAGACAGUUUGGUCCCUAUCUGCCGUGGGCGCUGGAGAUUUGACGGGAGCUGCUCCUAGUACGAGAGGACCGGAGUGGACGUACCGCUGGUGUACCGGUUGUGACGCCAGUCGCAUCGCCGGGUAGCUAUGUACGGAAGCGAUAACCGCUGAAAGCAUCUAAGCGGGAAACGUGCCUGAAGAUGAGAUCUCCCGGGGACUAGAUCCCCUGAAGGGUCGUCGCAGACCACCACGUUGAUAGGCCGGAUGUGGAAGCGCGGCAACGCGUUAAGCUGACCGGUACUAAUUGCCCGUGCGGCUUGAUCCC
rnacentral:rRNA from 1 species